rnacentral:rRNA from 1 species
UGGGGAAUAUUGCACAAUGGGCGCAAGCCUGAUGCAGCCAUGCCGCGUGUGUGAAGAAGGCCUUCGGGUUGUAAAGCACUUUCAGCGAGGAGGAAGGUGGUGAGCUUAAUACGCUCAUCAAUUGACGUUACUCGCAGAAGAAGCACCGGCUAACUCCGUGCCAGCAGCCGCGGUAAUACGGAGGGUGCAAGCGUUAAUCGGAAUUACUGGGCGUAAAGCGCACGCAGGCGGUUUGUUAAGUCAGAUGUGAAAUCCCCGGGCUCAACCUGGGAACUGCAUUUGAAACUGGCAAGCUAGAGUCUCGUAGAGGGGGGUAGAAUUCCAGGUGUAGCGGUGAAAUGCGUAGAGAUCUGGAGGAAUACCGGUGGCGAAGGCGGCCCCCCUGGACGAAGACUGACGCUCAGGUGCGAAAGCGUGGGGCAGCAAACAGGAUUAGAUACCCUGGUAGUCCACGCUGUAAACGAUGUCGAUUUGGAGGUUGUGCCCUUGAGGCGUGGCUUCCGGAGCUAACGCGUUAAAUCGACCG